ensembl:snRNA U6 U6 spliceosomal RNA
GUACUUGUCUGGACAGUGCACAUGCUGAAAUUGGAACAAGAGUGAAAAAGUUAGCAUGGCCCUUGGCCAAGGAUGAUGCGUACAUUUGUAAAGCAUUCAGAUCUUUA